AAUAAAAACUUUCAGAUUGUUUAUGUGUUUUCACAGCGGCUCUGAUGGAGCCACACCGACUGUUUUAGUUUUACGUGUUGAGUUUUUGAACUUGUGUUGACAGCUGAAUACGGCAGACGUCACUGUCAACAGCAUAUUUCAUUAAAACUGAACAAUGAGGUCUGUGAGGGAUCUAACUCGGGCAUCGUUUCAGUGUGAGGAAUGCAGAACUUCAGAUCAGGUUCCUAUAAUGUCCCAGAUGAAAAGAGGGAGAGAGAUACUGUUACCAGACCAGAGAGAAGACAGACAAAGAGAGGCGAGAUGCAGCUGAGAAACAGAACCAGACAGAAAAUGAUUUUAAAUGAAAGACGUUACGGAACAGAGACACGAAAGGAGGAGGUUCUGGAGGAGGGUGGACGGAGGAGUAAACCCAACAGCAGACUUUGCCAAAGGAGACUUUGCUGUACGUUUCCUGUUUCCAACCACGAGUCGGGACAGUUUUUUAAAAAAAGUGUAAGUACGAUUGUCCCGUAACCUUAAAAAGGUCUUUGAAUCACAAAAAGGGGAAAAACUUUACCUGAGAUUUCAACAGUAAAGUCAAUAAUUUGGGAGGAAAAACUGUUUUAUUUUGAAAAUUCGUUUUGUUAUAUUUUGAAAAUUUACAAGUAAUGUUUUGAGAAGUUUCAGUAGGUGGCGCUCUUUGUGUGCCAGUCAGAUAUGUUUUCUUUGGGGAGAAAAUACUGAGUAACAGCUUCCACAAACUGGUUUUAUGAUGGAUCCAAAGACUGUAUAUAAAAUCUAAAGAGAGCAGCAGACAUUUAUCAUUUUACGAAUAAUUACUUUAAUACCUUCGUCAAUAACGUAUGGAGUGUUUUGAAGCCACUCAGAGCAACAAGUGGUUUAUAUUUUUAUCCUCAUAAAUAAAAGAAAAUCCAUCUUUCAUUAUUUUAAUAGACUGUCACCUUUGUUACAUUGCAUCACAUGACUUUUAGGAGGUUAUUUAAUCCAAAAUUACUUGAGGAUCAAUAACUUUAGAAGGAAAAAUACCACUGGAAGAUUUUCUCAUCUCUACCUUCUUUCUGCCACGCUGCUGUUUGUUUCUGGGAGGCCUGGACUCGAUCCCGUCUCAUUCGACCUCUGACCUCUGUGACCGGGUUCACAGCCCUCUCAGGGUGGUGUUUAAGGGUGACGGAGGACACGGUGAUUUGGGGCUGCCAGCUCUAAACGCUUCCACAUGCUUCUGCUUGUACGUCUGUGAGUAUAUAGAUGUGUGAGAACCAGAUCUGUGGGAAAAGCUCAACACCACGAGACCACAACGGUAUUUAUUUUUAAAAUGUCAUUCGUCAAAAUGAGAAUUCACUAUAUUUGUGUUUGCAGUGUUUAAAGACUGUAGAACAUUUAAUGAGUAAACAAGGAAAUACCUGUAUGGAAGAAAAAUGAGUCAAAAAUGUUUUAUGUUUUGUUUCAGAUGUUUUAUCUAUUUUUACUUGUGUACUGUAAUGUGUUUUAUAAACCUGUAGUUUAUCUUGUCACUACAUUUGUUGUAUAUGUUACAUGUUAUUGUGCUGCUUUUAUGUUUUGGUGAGCCAAAGGCAAUUUUCCCCUGAGUGAAGACAAUAAAGUUGUAUUCUAUUUUUAAAACAAAAGAAGAAGAAGAAAUAAAAGGCGAAUGAGCAAAGCUAUGAUUGUGGGCGGUUGUGGCUCAGGAGGUAGAGAAGGUCGUCCACCAGUCAGAAGGUCUGUGGUUUGAUCCUCAGCUCCUCCAGUCUGCAUGUCAAAGGGUCCCUGAGCAAGACACUGAACCUCCGGGUAUAUGCGUGUUUGUGUGUGCGAAUGGGUGAAUGUUAGCAUGUAUUGCAGAGUGCUUGUAGUGGUCGUUCAGACUAGAAGAGGGCUUCGUAACUGCAGUCCAUUUACUGUGAUGACAAAUAGAGCUGGUGGUUAUGAAAAUGAUUUAUGUGACAUUAGUUCAGAUUUUGUUUUCCCUUUUCUUCUUGAUGCUUUGUAGAAAUGAUAAGUAUGUGUGUGACAACAACUUUUUCUUUGUGACUUUUUCUAAAAGGUAGAUAGAGAAUGAACAUCUUAAACUGUGUGUUUCAGAUUUGAAGAUGCAGAAACAAAACUCCCAGUUUCAUACAGUUCAUCAAACCUGUUAAUGGAAAAGAAACUGAAAGUCAACACACUCCAACUGUUUGUGCAUUUAAUGUAAAAGGAAAGUGUGUGACCCAACUACAAUAAAUACAUCACAAACCUGA